CAGCAGCCGCGGUAAUACGAGGGGGGCUAGCGUUGUUCGGAUUUACUGGGCGUAAAGCGCACGUAGGCGGACUUUUAAGUCAGGGGUGAAAUCCCGGGGCUCAACCCCGGAACUGCCUUUGAUACUGGGAGUCUUGAGUUCGAAAGAGGUGAGUGGAAUUGCGAGUGUAGAGGUGAAAUUCGUAGAUAUUCGCAGGAACACCAGUGGCGAAGGCGGCUCACUGGUUCGAUACUGACGCUGAGGUGCGAAAGCGUGGGGAGCAAACAGGAUUAGAUACCCCCGUAGUCCCUGUCUCUUAUAC
rnacentral:rRNA from 1 species